CACAGAGGGGCUGUGUAGGACAAAGAGACACACAGAGCGACCGGUGAGGACAAAGACACACAGAUGGGCUAGGGGGUACAAAGAGACACAAAGAGGGGAUGGGGAAGGGGAAAAAGAGAUACACAAAGGAGUUGGCAGAGAAAGAGACACACAAAGGGACUGGGAGAAGAAAGUCACACAAAGUUGGCAAAUUUCAUUUUUUGAGGGGGGGCACAUAGCUGGACUUGCACCGACCCUGCGUGAGGUGUGUAUGUUGUCAUAUUCUUCUUGUGUUAUUUAUGGGUGUUGUAGUUGCUUUGUAGCUUGUAUUUGUGCAUAUGUGGGCUGUUAUAUCAUAUAUGUUCAUGAAUAGUUUGUGGUAUUGUAUAUGAUACCUAUGAAUGUGGGCUAUGUAUGGGGGGGCUAGUGGCAGUUGGAUCAGUGCUUAGAGACCAAUAAACAGCUAAAUACUAAAAAAGUACGGGCCACAACCUGGUUGUUGCAUACGUUCGAUUAUUCACUCACUCAAAAAUCCCAGGUGGGGAUUACACCACCUAUGCCAAAAUGGCCAAAAUAGUUAAAAACAAAAAAUUUGCAUUUAGGAAUUAUAAAAAAAAACAGAGUGAGGAAGACAAAAUGAUCUAUAAGAUUAGGC